rnacentral:rRNA from 1 species
UACGGAGGAUGCGAGCGUUAUCCGGAUUUAUUGGGUUUAAAGGGUGCGUAGGCGGGCUGUUAAGUCUGGAGUGAAAGGUACCGGCUCAACCGGUACAGGCUCUGGAAACUGGCGGGCUAGAGAGCAGGAGAGGGCGGUGGAAUUCCAAGUGUAGCAGUGAAAUGCGUAGAUAUUUGGAAGAACACCGAUGGCGAAGGCAGCCCCCUGGGACGCAACUGACGCUCAUACACGAAAGCGUGGGGAGCAAAUAGG